AUUCCAGCUCCAAUAGCGUAUAUUAAAGUUGUUGCGGUUAAAAAGCUCGUAGUUGGAUCUCGACGGGCAGGGGGUGGUUCGCUCUUCAGCGCUACUGCCCCGCUUUGCCCGUGUGAUUGGCGGAGGUUUCGGGGUGCUCUUCGUUGAGUGACUCGGAGCGCCGUCAGGUUUACUUUGAAAAAAUUAGAGUGCUCAAAGCAGGCUUUUCACGCUUGAAUAUUCGUGCAUGGAAUAAUGGAAUAGGAACUCGUUUCUAUUUUGUUGGUUUUCGGAAAUCGAGUUAAUGAUUAACAGGGACAAUUGGGGGCAUUAGUAUUCAGACGACAGAGGUGAUAUUCUUGGACCGUCUGAAGACUGACUACUGCGAAAGCAUUUGCCAAGAGUGUUUUCAUUG
rnacentral:rRNA from 1 species